CACGUAGGGCGCAAGCGUUGUCCGGAAUUAUUGGGCGUAAAGAGCUCGUAGGCGGUCUGUCGCGUCGGAUGUGAAAAUCCAGGGCUCAACCCUGGACCUGCAUUCGAUACGGGCAGACUAGAGUUCGGUAGGGGAGACUGGAAUCCUGGUGUAGCGGUGAAAUGCGCAGAUAUCAGGAGGAACACCGGUGGCGAAGGCGGGUCUCUGGGCCGAAACUGACGCUGAGGAGCGAAAGCGUGGGGAGCAAACAGG
rnacentral:rRNA from 1 species